AAACUUUCAACAACGGAUCUCUUGGUUCCGGCAUCGAUGAAGAACGCAGCGGAAAUGCGAUAAUUAAUGUGAAUUGCAGAAUUCAGUGAAUCAUCGAGUCUUUGAACGCACAUUGCGCCCCCUGGUAUUCCGGGGGGCAUGCCUGUCCGAGCGUCAU
rnacentral:rRNA from 1 species